rnacentral:miRNA from 1 species
ACUCACCACCACCAUCAUUAAAUACUAAAAACUAUAACCUACCCUGUGGUUGGUUUGCUUACACGCUUCAGGUUCAGGUUUUAGAGCGUCCAUGGCCUGGAAUGAGAGGUACUGCUUGUUCUAGUAUGGAAGAAUCCGUUAAGCUCAGGAGGGAUAGCGCCACCACGGAUGAUGAGUCCAGUCUUGAUGGAAUGGAUCUCUCGUCUAUCCGGUAUCGCGCUAUCCAUCCUGAGUUUCCCGGCUUCUUUAUACUUUUUGGUCUAUCAGAACCUAUUGAGAAAAACAAAGACGGGUAAUAUUUCUGGAAUAAAAUUUUCCAAGCAUUAUUAUUGUACAAAAAAAAAAAAAAAAAAAAAAAAAAAA